CGUCGACAAAAAAAUAAAAAAGUUGUCGAAGGAAGUCAGGGAAACGAAGAAGCUGAUUGAAGCCAAAUUUCGGCACUGGGACGAAAGCUUUUUAGCAUUAAGGCAUUUUUGCGAAGAAAGCUUUGGCCAGGUGAUGGCAAGUUUGGCUUCCAUCCGCGACUUCGUCGAGGAGCAGGAGGCUUCCGACUAUCCUGAAAAGCCUGCCUGACUCCCCCUCAAAAAAAUACGAGACUUGGAGAUUUUCGAAACUUUGACUGCGAAGGAGCAUCGCGAUGUCGUCACCUACCUUAGUCACCUAGGGGGUUCGGAUGCCAAUGUCUGUGCGAGCCUCAUGCUUAAGGAGGCGAUGCACGAGAGAUUGGCUCCGAAGGUGAACUAUCAUGGUAGGCACCAGGGGACGUUUGCUUUAGAGCAAACCAAAUUUGUCAAGGUCCUUUACAAGGCAAUGGGUAAGACACUUCGACGUCCAUCGAUUCCGUUAACGGAAUUUUCAGCGGCGGUUACAUCUGCACUCCGUGCGGCAAAACAGCGCCGCCGGAAUAAGAAGAAUCGCCGCCAAAAUCCCGUCUUACCAGCCAUGGACCUUGACAACCCUGGUUAAAAUGGCGACUCGCGAUGUAUUAAAGUGCGUCCAAAAUAUAUA